UGGCUCAGUUGGUAGAGCAUGGUGUUUGCAAUGCCAGGGUUGUGGGUUAGCUUCCCAC
rnacentral:tRNA from 1 species